UGGCAAUGCAGAGAGAUGGUAAAGCCCCAGACACAGGCAAACAAAGUCCUGGCUUCCAGCUUGGACCUGUUUGCAGAACUGGGGCCCUGCAACAACCAGAUCUUCUGGAAGAUUUCAACAAAUCUGGCUCAUUUUCUCAUGGGAGGGGGGAAGCAUUUUCACACAACUUGCACAAAUGCACUGCCCUGAGAUUUGACAUUUUCUUUUUGAGGGUUGGAAAACAUCUUACAGCUGUGUAUUUCCUCACCUCCCUGUUGUCUUCUCCUAGCAAGAGAAAUCACCUCAUGAAGCAGCCUGGCUCCAGACCAACAAAACCCCUCUCUGACUAACAUGAUGGCUGCAUUCCUGCAGGCAAGCAGGCAAGCUCUGGGGCAUAGGGCAGGGCUUACCUGGAGGCUGCGGGCAUGUGGGAGGGCCACUGUGCCUCUCCUCAGCGGGCAGGUGAGCCUGCAGUACGGGUUCUUCACCCAGAAAGCCUGGCUUGGUUUUGUUUCUGUUAUUCAGCUGCUGGCCGAAGCCUUCUUCGAGGCUUUCAUCUCCCGUCCCAGCAGCCCUUUCCCUCACAGAUCCAAAAAUGAGCCUCGAAAGCACGCAGGAGCGGGCAAACCCCAACGCCCAAGAUGGCCGCCCGCUCCUGACAUGCCGCGUCCCUCACUCAAGAUGGCGGAAAGGCUGAGCGGCUACAGGGACGAAGCCGAGGGCGGCCAUGUUGCUUUCGGGCAGGCGGGCAGGACCAUUGCGCUGAAGAGCGGGGAAAAGGUGGUUUCUCCCAGAGGCGGUGUGAGAGGAGCGCGGCAGCCGCGACCCGCGCGUGGGGCACGGUGUGGUGUGGGUGUUCUCGCUGUUCUGACAGCUUGCUAGACCCAGUGUGGGAAUUUGUGUGAAUAAACCUGAUUUUCCAGGUGAUUAAUGCAGGUGAGUAACUCCAGCACUUAUUUAUGCCCUCUUCAUGUUCUUUUUCACUUACGGUAGUUAAUUAUCUUCCUGUCAUUCACAUUUUAUCAUCACAGUCACUCUCGAAAUGCUAUCUGACUUGACAGGGGGGAAAAAAAGACAAGAAAUCUACCCGCCUUCAUCUUGGGAAAGUUUUAGCCAAUGCAUCCAGAAGUACAACUAUGCUCUCAUGCUGUGCUCAAUAGCAGCACUUCAUAGAGGUAUUUGGGCUGUUUCUGCAGAGAAUAGCUGGUCAAAGGAGGUCUCAUUUUCUUCUCACUCUGUCAGUAGGUAAGG
rnacentral:lncRNA from 1 species